rnacentral:rRNA from 1 species
UACGAAGGGGGCUAGCGUUGCUCGGAAUCACUGGGCGUAAAGGGUGCGUAGGCGGGCCUUUAAGUCGGUGGUGAAAUCCUGGAGCUCAACUCCAGAACUGCCUCCGAUACUGGAAGGCUCGAGUCCGGGAGAGGUGAGUGGAACUGCGAGUGUAGAGGUGAAAUUCGUAGAUAUUCGCAAGAACACCAGUGGCGAAGGCGGCUCACUGGCCCGGUACUGACGCUGAGGUGCGAAAGCGUGGGGAGCAAACAGG